rnacentral:rRNA from 1 species
GAUGAACGCUGGCGGCGUGCUUAACACAUGCAAGUCGAACGAAGCACUUAUGAUAGAUUCUUCGGAUGAUGGAUUAAGUGACUGAGUGGCGGACGGGUGAGUAACGCGUGGGUAACCUGCCUCAUACAGGGGGGAUAACAGUUAGAAAUGACUGCUAAUACCGCAUAAGCGCACAGGACCGCAUGGUCUGGUGUGAAAAACUCCGGUGGUAUGAGAUGGACCCGCGUCUGAUUAGCUAGUUGGUGGGGUAACGGCCUACCAAGGCGACGAUCAGUAGCCGGCCUGAGAGGGUGAACGGCCACAUUGGGACUGAGACACGGGCCCAAAAUCCCUACGGGGAGGCAGCAGUGGGGAAUAUUGCACAAUGGGGGAAACCCUGAUGCAGCGACGCCGCGUGAGUGAAGAAGUAUUUCGGUAUGUAAAGCUCUAUCAGCAGGGAAGAAAAUGACGGUACCUGACUAAGAAGCUCGGCUAAAUACGUGCCAGCA